GGCGCUGCCCGAAAUGCUUGGAAGGCUAGUUGGGGAGGGUAGCGCCUGCUAAGCGUUGCUCAUACCCGAGACAGGCGAGAUCGUUCAUGGGCUUUGUUUGGCUUUGCGGCCUUGCAUCUGCUCCUCUGGCGGUUUCGUGCUGGGCGAACCUCUCGAAGCAUCACACGGUCAUUGCCCACCACAGCUCGUUGCUUGGUCACCCGCUGAGUCUUGAUGUGCAGGAUGUUUCAUCCACUUUCCAGGCUAUUGAAGUUGACGCGUGGAUGGGCAGAAUCCCGCACGGAGGGCUUGUCCGUGCGUGGGUUGUGGCUCGCGUCACGCCUGUGAAAUCUGUGGCUCUGACUGCCGACUUGUGGACGUGGUGUGAUCCAUUCGGCGACGAAGCUGCAAAUGGCCAGACACAUACAGCUCCCAGCCCUCUCGUCAUGUGCCGACGGAGGGCACCUGCGGGCAGGCUGCUUGCGUCGCAUGCGAAGCAUACGCUCAGCCUGGGAAGCUGGUCUGAUUGGUGAUGUUCUGGCGACCAUCGGUCACGUCUCGAAACACGGGCCAAGGAGUAUAGCAUGUGUGCAAGUCUAAGGGUCUCACAAAACCCGAGGGCGAAGUGAAAGCAAAGGUGUGGCGGCGCAUUGCUGCGCCGUCAGCCAUGUCAAAGUGGUUGCUAGUACCGAGCUGAUCCUGCUUUCCCAUGCUGGGGACAGGCGCAAGCUCCGGGCUCACGAUUGUUGGUUCGGCAAGCUUCUCCUUCACGGGAGUUGCGGGCUGGACGGUGAGCACCGCGGAGCACAUAUGCUAUGACCCGAAAGAUAGUGAACUAUGCCUGGCGAGGGUGAAGCCCCAGGAAACUGGGGUGGAGGCCCGUAGCCGUUGUGACGUGCAAAUCCAUGGCGUCAG
rnacentral:rRNA from 1 species